rnacentral:rRNA from 1 species
CCAGACUCCUACGGGAGGCAGCAGUGAGGAAUAUUGGUCAAUGGGCGGGAGCCUGAACCAGCCAAGUCGCGUGAGGGAUGACGGCCCUAUGGGUUGUAAACCUCUUUUGCCGGGGAGCAAAGUGCCGCACGUGUGCGGUUUGGAGAGUACCCGGAGAAAAAGCAUCGGCUAACUCCGUGCCAGCAGCCGCGGUAAUACGGAGGAUGCGAGCGUUAUCCGGAUUUAUUGGGUUUAAAGGGUGCGUAGGCGGACGCUUAAGUCAGCGGUAAAAUUGCGGGGCUCAACCUCGUCGAGCCGUUGAAACUGGGUGCCUUGAGUGGGCGAGAAGUACGCGGAAUGCGUGGUGUAGCGGUGAAAUGCAUAGAUAUCACGCAGAACUCCGAUUGCGAAGGCAGCGUACCGGCGCCCAACUGACGCUGAAGCACGAAGGCGUGGGUAUCGAACAGGAUUAGAUACCCUGGUAGUCCACGCAGUAAACGAUGAAUGCUAGUUGUCCGGGGCGAUUGAGUUCUGG